AGGCUGGAGUGCAGUGAUGUGAUCAUAGCUCACUAUAGCUUUGGCCUUCUGAGAUCAAGCAAUCCUCCCAUCUCAACCUCCCAAGUAGCUAGGACUACACACGCAUGUCACCCAUGCCCAGAUCAUUUUUGUAGAGUCAGAGUUUCACCGUGGUGGCCAGGUUGGCCAUGUUGGCCAGAUGGGGUCUUCUUUUGUUGCCCAGGCUGGCCACAAAUUCCUGGGCUCAAGUGAUCCUCCCACCUCGUCCUUGUAGAGAUGAGAUUUAGUUAUGUCGUCCAGGCUGAUCUCAAACUCCUGGGCUAAAUCGAUUGUCUCACCUCAGCCUCUCAAGUAUGUUAUGAAGGUUAUAUGUUAGGAAGGGUCCCAGGAGGUAAACCCACACAGAUGGGAUUUGGGCAUAGGUUUGGUUUCCCAGGGGGCAGUGCUGAGCUCUUUGCCAGUGGGAAAUGGGAUGCUGGUGAUUUCCAGUAGGUGACCUCACAGUGACUCAAGCUACCACUUACUGUUGAUUGUGACGAAAUGCCAGCUGAGGCACAUGCCUUGGGAGCUAAGUGGUUGCUGCCCUUGACCACUGUGAAGACUGGUGUGGGAAGGGUCGUUUUGGAUGCACUUGAGCAGGGGUCCCCAACCCCUGAGCCAUGGAGCCGCAAGGAGCCACACAGCAGGAGCUCCUACCUCCCGGCAGCCUCUCCAGGCCCAGAACUUUCUCCAGUCAGCCUCUACAGACCAAGCUCAUGACUCACAAUGGCCUAUUUAGGCCCAUACCCUACGUCACGGCAGCCUCCGCAGAUGAGGCUACUGCCUCACAACAGCCUCCACAGGCACAGCUCCAUCGUUACAAUGGCCUCUUUAGACCCAGCUCCUGCCUCCCAGCCUUCUCUCCAGGCCCUGAACUUUCUCAAGUCGACCUCACCAGGCCCAGCUCAUGCUUCUUUGCAGCCUCUCCAGGCCCAGCUCCUGCAUCUUGGUGGCCCCUCCAGGCCCAGCCUCUGCCUCCCGUCAGCCUCUACAGUCCCAACGUCUGCCUCACAGCAGAUUCUUCACGCCCAGCAUCUACCUCACUGUGGACCCCCCAAGCCAAGCUCCCAACCUUUCAGCAGCUUCUACACACCCAGCUCCCGCCUGCCAGUGGCCUCUUCAGGCCCAUGGGGCUCAUUCCUGACAACGGCCUUUCCAGGCCCAGUUUUUCCCUUCCGGCGGCCUCUCCGGGCCCAGAACCUCCUCAAGUCAGCCUCUCCAGACCCACUUGCACCCUCCGGGCGUUCUCUCCGGGCCCAGCUCUUCUUCCUGGUUGGGUCUCCAGGCCCGAUUCCUGCCUCUCAACAACCUCUUUGGACUCAGUGCCUACCCAUCUCCUGGCGGCCUUGGUCGGCCCACAGCUUCCUCAAGCCAAGCUCCCCAGGCCCAGGUCAGGCCUCACGGUGGCCUCUCCAGGAUGAGCUCCUGCCCUCCGAUGGCAUCUCCAGGCCCCAAAUGGUCUCCGGUCGGUGGGCUCCUCCACGCCAAGGUUGGGCCUCCCGGCGACUGCCGCAGGCCCAAGUUGUCCUGAAGUCGGGCUCUCCCAGCCCUGCCUCCCAGCAAGUAAGCAAGCUCUUUUGGCUCAACUCCUGCCCAGCUCCCAACCGCCUUUGUAGGCCCCGAACUUUCUCCAGCCAAGCUCUGAGGGCCCACCUCCUGCCUCCUGGUGGCCUGUACAGUUCUAGCACUGGUUGGAGAACAGCCUCUGCAGGCCCCGCCCUUGCCUCCCUGGAGACUCCCCUGGGAGGCAACAGCGGGGUCUGCAGACGCCCUUCUCCAGCCGGAGCUGGGACUGUUCAGUCACUGGGAGAAGGGAUGUGGGUCUGAAGAGCUUGGUUGCAGAAACUUCGGGGUCUACAAACGCAGGCGGGAGCUGAGCCAAAA